rnacentral:misc_RNA from 1 species
UGGGUCCAACCUCCCACCCGUGUUUAUUUACCUUGUUGCUUCGGCGGGCCCGCCUUAACUGGCCGCCGGGGGGCUUACGCCCCCGGGCCCGCGCCCGCCGAAGACACCCUCGAACUCUGUCUGAAGAUUGUAGUCUGAGUGAAAAUAUAAAUUAUUUAAAACUUUCAACAACGGAUCUCUUGGUUCCGGCAUCGAUGAAGAACGCAGCGAAAUGCGAUACGUAAUGUGAAUUGCAAAUUCAGUGAAUCAUCGAGUCUUUGAACGCACAUUGCGCCCCCUGGUAUUCCGGGGGGCAUGCCUGUCCGAGCGUCAUUGCUGCCCUCAAGCACGGCUUGUGUGUUGGGCCCCGUCCUCCGAUUCCGGGGGACGGGCCCGAAAGGCAGCGGCGGCACCGCGUCCGGUCCUCGAGCGUAUGGGGCUUUGUCACCCGCUCUGUAGGCCCGGCCGGCGCUUGCCGAUCAACCCAAAUUUUUAUCCAGGUUGACCUCGGAUCAGGUAGGGAUACCCGCUGAACUUAAGCAUAUCAAUAAGCGGAGGAA